AGCAGCCGCCACGGGAAUACGUAGGUGGCAAGCGUUGUCCGGAAUUAUUGGGCGUAAAGCGCGCGCUGGCGGAUAGGUCAGUCUGUCUUAAAAGUUCGGGGCUUAACCCCGUGAUGGGAUGGAAACUGCCAAUCUAGAGUAUCGGAGAGGAAAGUGGAAUUCCUAGUGUAGCGGUGAAAUGCGUAGAUAUUAGGAAGAACACCAGUGGCGAAGGCGACUUUCUGGACGAAAACUGACGCUGAGGCGCGAAAGCCAGGGGAGCGAACGGGAUUAGAUACCCCCGUAGUCCCUGUCUCUUAUACA
rnacentral:rRNA from 1 species